UAACAUGUGACAUUUUGCGAAAUGUUAGUUUUUCUAUGAAACUAAAAACAAGAAAUUAUGAAUUCACAACCAUUAUAUUUUGUUUUACUGGCAAUAGUUUUCACUCUUGUACUUACAAUACUACCUGUAGUACAUGCAGUAACUAAAGUCGAUGCUAUAAUAGGACCAUGUCCUAACCAUGUCCUAAGAGGACAAUGGCCUAUAGGAAUCAAGUGUUGAAGAAUUAUACUUCGAAGGUAUUAAUUUGCAACUAUGAAAAUUAAUUUUAUAUGUAUUAAAAUGAUAAAAUAAAUAAAUACUUAAAAUGUA